rnacentral:rRNA from 1 species
AUUGAACGCUGGCGGCAGGCCUAACACAUGCAAGUCGAGCGAGCGGCGGACGGGUGAGUAAUGUAUGGGGACUGCCCGAUAGCGGGGGAUAACUACUGGAAACGGUGGCUAAUACCGCAUACUAUCGGAUAACCCAUAUGGGAUUAGCUAGUAGGUAAGGUAAUGGCUUACCUAGGCGACGAGCCCUUGCUGGUCUGAGGGGAUGAUCAGCCCAACUGGGAUGGAGACACGGCCCCGAUUCCUACGGGGGCAGCAGGGGGGAAUAUUGCACAAUGGGCGAAAGCCUGAUGCAGCCAUGCCGCGUGUAUGAAGAAGGCCCUAGGGUGGUAAAGUACUUUCAGUCGGGAGGCGUUACCGACAGAAGAAGCACCGGCUAACUCCGUGCCAGCAGCCGCGGUAAUU